rnacentral:rRNA from 1 species
UACGUAGGGUGCGAGCGUUGCCCGGAUUUAUUGGGCGUAAAGGGCGCGUAGGCGCCACGCACGUCCGUUGUGAAAUCGCCCGGCUCAACUGGGCGGGGUCGGCGGAUACGGCGUGGCUGGAGCAAGCUAGGGGCAAUGGAAUUCCCGGUGUAGUGGUGGAAUGCGUAGAUAUCGGGAGGAACACCUGUGGCGAAGGCGGCCCCCUGGGCCGGCCCUGACACUGAGACGCGAAAGCCAGGGGAGCGAACGGG